UCAAAAUGUUAUUUUCCUCAGUACUUGUUAAAACAGCAGGAGCCUGUCGUUGACUGAGAGAAAGGAAAUGGUUUGUCACAUCCCAGUAGGUUUUUCUGCUGUGGCUCCUGCUCACUCACAUCACGUGAACACCAAGCCGCCUCUAGAUUUUGUGCUUGUUGGAACAGAACAUUCAGUCUCUCUGCACCUGUAAGUCCCUUCUCUGUGCCUACCCCCAUAGCUGCUCAGCAAGGAAGAAGUAUCACAGCACUUUAAGACAAGAAAAAUGGCCCUGCCUAGUUGCCUUUAGUUGCUGGAAGAAUGUAUGUGAGGGCUUCAGUGUCUAAAGUGCUCAAUUCUGAGAUCACACCUGUGGAUUCAACUCAGACAGAGACCCUGUCCUGCCCCCUGUUCCCCAACCCAGGCUGGCACCUGCACCUGAAUACGGAGACUUCGCACCUGCCCCUCAGAGGCACAGGUAGCAGGAACAGAAUCAUUACUCAAACAGCUCCCAAACUGAAAAUGAAAAUUGCUCAUGGACUACUGGUAACACCAUUUGGGUGUUUAGGAAUCUGGAGACCCAGUCUGGGAAUCAAGGGACUUCAGUCAAGUGUAAGAUCCCCCCUAAUUUGAAAAAAAUACCCUGUGAAUAGCCCAGACUUUCAGCUAACUUUAUCAUCCCUUCUUUCCACCACUGUGGUUCUCUCUUUCCUUUUGCAGCAAGACUUCUAAAGGGAGCAGUCUUGGAUUCAUUGCCCCUUAACACCUCACAAACUGGCUUUCACCCAAGCCCAGUUUAAAGAGAGACGAGUCAAAGUCAAGUUUUCACUCUUGACUUUUCAGCACUCCUUGCCAAUCAGCAACGAAAGCCCUUUUUAAAUUUUUUUUUUUUUGGUAAUAGCUUUAUGAGAUAUUACUCAAAUACUGUACAGUCUACCUAUUUAAAGUGUACAGUUCAGUAGUCUUUAGUAUAUUCACAGAGUUGCCUCCAUCACCACAAUCAAUUUUAGAACAUUUUCAUCACUCCGAAGAGAAACCCAUACCCUUUAGCAGUCACCCUCCAUACUG
rnacentral:lncRNA from 10 species